GGUGAACCCUGGCGGCGUGCCUAAUACAUGCAAGUCGAGCGAACAGACGAGGAGCUUGCUCCUCUGACGUUAGCGGCGGACGGGUGAGUAACACGUGGAUAACCUACCUAUAAGACUGGGAUAACUUCGGGAAACCGGAGCUAAUACCGGAUAAUAUAUUGAACCGCAUGGUUCAAUAGUGAAAGACGGUUUUGCUGUCACUUAUAGAUGGAUCCGCGCCGCAUUAGCUAGUUGGUAAGGUAACGGCUUACCAAGGCAACGAUGCGUAGCCGACCUGAGAGGGUGAGCGGCCACACUGGAACUGAGACACGGUCCAGACUCCUACGGGAGGCAGAAGUAGGGAAUCUUCCGCAAUGGGCGAAAUCCUGACGGAGCAACGCCGCGUGAGUGAUGAAGGUCUUCGGAUCGUAAAACUCUGUUAUUAGGGAAGACCAAAUGUGUAAGUAACUAUGCACGUCUGGACGGUACCUAAUCAGAAAGCCACGGCUAAAUACGUG
rnacentral:rRNA from 1 species